UACGUAGGGGGCAAGCGUUGUCCGGAAUUAUUGGGCGUAAAGCGCGCGCAGGCGGCCGCUUAAGUUUGGUGUUUAAGCCCGGGGCUCAACCCCGGUUCGCACUGAAAACUGGGUGGCUUGAGUGCAGGAGAGGAAAGCGGAAUUCCACGUGUAGCGGUGAAAUGCGUAGAGAUGUGGAGGAACACCAGUGGCGAAGGCGGCUUUCUGGACUGUAACUGACGCUGAGGCGC
rnacentral:rRNA from 1 species